GAUGAACGCUGGCGGCGUGCCUAAUACAUGCAAGUCGAGCGAACAGACGAGGAGCUUGCUCCUCUGACGUUAGCGGCGGACGUGUGAGUAACACGUGGAUAACCUACCUAUAAGACUGGGAUAACUUCGGGAAACCGGAGCUAAUACCGGAUAAUAUAUUGAACCGCAUGGUUCAAUAGUGAAAGACGGUUUUGCUGUCACUUAUAGAUGGAUCCGCGCCGCAUUAGCUAGUUGGUAAGGUAACGGCUUACCAAGGCAACGAUGCGUAGCCGACCUGAGAGGGUGAUCGGCCACACUGGAACUGAGACGCGGUCCAGGCUCCUACGGGAGGCAGAAGUAGGGAAUCUUCCGCGAUGGGCGAAAGCUUGACGGAGCAGCGCCGCGUGAGUGAUGAAGGUCUUCGGAUCGUAAAACUCUGUUAUUAGGGAAGAACAAAUGUGUAAGUAACUAUGCACGUCUUGACGGUACCUGAUCAGAAAGCAACGGCUAACUACGUG
rnacentral:rRNA from 1 species